GGCAUUGCGGCAGUCUACACAUGCAGUCGAGCGGAUGAAGGGAGCUUGCUCCUGGAUUCAGCGGCGGACGGGUGAGUAAUGCCUAGGAAUCUGCCUGGUAGUGGGGGAUAACGUCCGGAAACGGGCGCUAAUACCGCAUACGUCCUGAGGGAGAAAGUGGGGGAUCUUCGGACCUCACGCUAUCAGAUGAGCCUAGGUCGGAUUAGCUAGUUGGUGGGGUAAAGGCCUACCAAGGCGACGAUCCGUAACUGGUCUGAGAGGAUGAUCAGUCACACUGGAACUGAGACACGGUCCAGACUCCUACGGGAGGCAGCAGUGGGGAAUAUUGGACAAUGGGCGAAAGCCUGAUCCAGCCAUGCCGCGUGUGUGAAGAAGGUCUUCGGAUUGUAAAGCACUUUAAGUUGGGAGGAAGGGCAGUAAGUUAAUACCUUGCUGUUUUGACGUUACCAACAGAAUAAGCACCGGCUAACUUCGUGCCAGCAGCCGCGGUAAU
rnacentral:rRNA from 1 species